AUGGAAAAUCAUCCUUCGAGGGGUUUGUUCGGGGUAUCUUCACCUCGACCGGAAGAACAAAGAGUUGCUCCUCAACCUACUGCACCUACUAAAUAUAUUUAUUAUGAAAUUCCUUCGGGUAUGAUAGAUAAGCUGCUAGCUAAUCCUUAUGCAGGAGAUGGAACAUUACAUCCUGAUAUGCAUCUAAUCUAUGUGGAUGAAGUUUGUGGAUUAUUUAAGCUUGCAGGUUUGCCCGAGGAUGAAGUCAAGAAAAAUGUCUUUCCUUUAUCUUUGAAGGGAAAGGCAUUGACAUGGUAUAGGCUAUGUGAUGAUAUUGGAGCUUGGAAUUACAACCGAUUGAAAUUGGAAUUUCAUCGGAAGUUCCAUCCUAUGCAUCUGGUGCAUCGCGAUCGGAGUUCAUUGGUACGGAUCGGUGCUAUACAAACGGAUUUUAACCCCUGUCCGUGA
rnacentral:rRNA from 1 species